GCGUAACGCGUAUGCAAUCACCUUUUGCAGAGGGAUAGCCCAGAGAAAUUUGGACUUAAUACCUCAUAGUAUAGUACUUUGGCAUCAAGGAACUAUUAAAGUCACAACGGCAAAAGAUGAGGCAUGCGUCCCAUUAGCUAGUUGGUAAGGUAACGGCUUACCAAGGCUACGAUGGGUAGGGGUCCUGAGAGGGAGAUCCCCCCACACUGGUACUGAGACACGGACCAGACUCCUACGGGAGGCAGCAGUGAGGAAUAUUGGACAAUGGGCGCAAGCCUGAUCCAGCCAUGCCGCGUGCAGGAUGACGGUCCUAUGGAUUGUAAACUGCUUUAUACAGGAAGAAACACUCCGACGUGUCGGAGCUUGACGGUACUGUAAGAAUAAGGAUCGGCUAACUCCGUG
rnacentral:rRNA from 1 species